rnacentral:misc_RNA from 1 species
AAGUCGUAACAAGGUCUCCGUUGGUGAACCAGCGGAGGGAUCAUUACCGAGUACUACGCUCAUAACCCUCUGUGAACCAUUAUACUGUUGCUUCGGCGGCCUGUCCUCGCGGCGGCGCCCGCCGGCCAUGUCAGAAUCUCUGUUUGAACCCGACGAUACCUCUGAGUGUUCUUAAGCGAACCAUAAAAACUUUUAACAACGGAUCUCUUGGCUCCA